rnacentral:lncRNA from 1 species
GUGGGCAUCUUUGUACCCCUAAUUCUACUUCGGACACUUGUCCAUUUUUACCUCUCGUCUCACUCUUUUUCUUUCUUUUUCGAGGUUCCGGGCACUUGCCCCUUUUUAUUUCCUCGCAUAUUUUUUGCAUAACCCAUGCCUCUUCUGCAUUGAAUCUUUUUAGAGAGAGAGAAUAACAAUAUUUGGGACAGUGAGUGAUAAUAUUUUUUAGCAAUUUUAAUGAUUGGUGAUGAAUGGUGUAGUAGAUGUGUGCAAGUGAAUAUCUUAAUUUAACCACAUGAAAAGCUCCUAAGGGUCUACACAGCUCGAUCAAACUCAAUGUAAAUAUAGUAAAAGAUGUUAUAGCAAGUAUGGCUGUGGUAGGUAAUUUGUUAUGCUAGGAACUCAUCAUGUGAUUUGUAAGUUUUCAAAAUAAAUCUCCAGAACUUAGUGUAGUAGAAACAAGAUAAACAGUAGCUCAACUUUAUAUCAUGCCUUUCUCUUACCUAGACUUUAGUUUUAUGCUUCCCAAAGAUAGUGAUUUCAGUUUUAGUAAUUCCUGGAAGAACUCUAAUAUAAAAGCUAGGUACUUGAAAGUAAGCAAACAGAGCAACUAUUCAUCAUUUCCAUCAUGCAUCUUUUUGGUCUUUUUGUUUUUUCUAGAGAUUAACACUUAACAGAUAAAAUUAAAGCACACUUAUCUACACACUCUUUUUAUUUUGUUUUCAUGUUUAUAAAGUGCAGUAAAUUAAAGCAAGAAAAUAUUUAUUUAAUUUUCUAAGUUUUUCCUUUUAAGAUAAAAUACUAAAAUAGAAAAGAAUAAAUAAGAAGAGCAAAUAAAAACUUACUUGAUAAAUUGGGGAGGAACACCCCCAAGCUGGAUGUUGACGUCGGC